rnacentral:lncRNA from 1 species
UCUCCGUGCCUAGAUCUUGAUGGAGAUCAAGAGUCCAAGAUAUCUUUGCUGGCCAAAUCAAAUGAAGGCUCCGUCGGUCAAAAGAGAUAAAAGAAAAUACUGCUGCUUCCACCGUGAUCAUGACUAUGAGAUAGAAGAUUGCUUGCAACUCAGGGAUAAAAUUGAAGCCUUGAUCUGCCUAGGUUAUCUUGGCACAUAUG